rnacentral:lncRNA from 1 species
AAUGACUUAAUGGUGGCCUUGCCAGGAACAGUGAUGCAAAGGUAUGCUAAAUAGAUGUCCUUUGGUGUGACAUUGCCUGCCUGAUCAUCUCCUGGUUCGUCUCAUUUUCUAAGCCUUAUGCACCAGCUUUCUUAGGACUUUGACCCAAUAUCUUUCCAACAGCUUUUUCUUAAUUGGAAUUAAUUCCCCCCCCUCCUCCCCUUUACAAAUUGAAUUUAAAAUUCUUGUUAUUUGGUUUUAGAAGAGUUUACAUUGAAGUAAAAUGACACAAACAUUGAAAAUAAAGGAAUAGCAAAAAUAGUGUUAAAACUUGCAAGUUUCUUUCAUUUCAAGCAAAGGCUAAAACCUUUCUAGGCCAAAAUCUUUGAUUGAAUAAAAGAACAUUUUUAAUUAGUAAAAAGUUAGGACCACUAAACUAUAAGGCUUGAACUUCUGUGUGAUAAACUCAGGUGGCACUGAAGCAUGAGAUAGUUUCUUUAGAGAAAUUAAUAGCAUCAGUCUUUUCAGGAGACUUCACCUGUCAGAAUUUAAUAGAUCAAGUAAACAAAAAUUAGGGCUAUAAGAUUUGAAUAGCAGUAUGCUUUGUUUAAUAGAUGUAUGUCAAACUUUGUUCGCAAUGAAUAUUUUUUUUUUGCAGAAAAAUUUAUUUUUUUAGCUUAAUUAUUUUUAUUUUUUUUCCAUUAUAGCUGGUUUACAGUGUUCUGUCAUUUUCUACUGUACAGCAAGGUGACCCAGUCACACAUACACACACACAUUCCUUUUUCUCACAUGAUCAUGCUCCAUCAUAAGUGUCCCAUGUGGCUCACAGCAUAACUACUUGGCAUUGUGUCUAUAUUUCUUGAUUAUAGUAUAGAAAAAGUAGAUAUUAAAGCCAAAAUGAUUACAACCACUUUGACAAAACUCUUAUGACCUACCAGAACUUGAGCCUAAAUUUCAUACCGAAAAUUGAACAACAGUGAAGACAUGACACACCAAAACUGAGGACUCUCCUUUUAAACAUGGUGAAUUAAAUUACCAUUUGCUUUGAUGUCACACCCUUACUGGAAUUAUAGUAAUUUUGUUUUUUAAGGACAAAACUGGACAGUUGGUCACAGAGGUAAAAUGUUGGAAGCUGGAAAGCAGCAAGUGGUAACUGACUUCGUAGAGUUGAGAAAACUCACCUUUGCACUUUGAGUGGGGAAGGCCUAGAAUUGGUCUGGAAUUGUGCCGUUGAACACCCGGGUGCUUCAGGAAUUAGUGGCUGCAGAUACCUUGACACAGUUGUCUGAGGGUUAAUAGCAGGUUAAUAUUCAUGGUGCCAAAGAAGAGGUUUCUUAACCUUCAUCCAAGUUUCUGCUCUGACAUUCAGAGGGAAGCUCUGGUUAACGAUGUUAUGCUCGAAACCAGAGAGGAUUGGGUGGAAACUUACGUGUUGAACUGGGAAUCACGCCCAGUACCUUUUCUCCUCCGGGUGCUAAGGAUACUGGAUGUCAGGCUCCUACCCCCUGAUAGGAGGUGGGGUGGUUCUUCCUGCUGUAGCAAGCUGAUGAUGGGGAAGAAAGACCAGCAAGCUGACGACGGGGAAGAAAGACCAGCAAGCUGAUGAUGGGGAAGAAAGACCAACAUCUAAUAACCGAUGGGGGGGUCCCCCAGAGAAAUCAUCAGACUGAUCAUCUCAUGCCCAUACCUGCCCAUUAACACAAUUUCUAGGCAACUUUAAAUUCUUUUCCAUUAAAGUUUAUCGCAAGAUACUGAAUAUAGUCCCCAUGCCACACAGUAGGACCCCACUGUUUAUUCCAUCCACAGCAACUGCAUCUGCCAAUCCCAGACCCUCAGUCUGCCCCCCCCAACCCUAUCUGUUUUCUGUGUCCAUGUGUCUGUUUCUGUUUUGUAAAUAAGUUCAUUUGUAUCAUUUUGUAGAUUCCAUAUGUAAGGGAUAUUAUACUUGCCUUUCUCUGACGUCACCUAGUAUGAUAAUCUCUAGGUUCAUCAACUAGGCAACUUUUAAGUGUUUCAUUUUUUAUUUUUUUAAGAUUAAAAAAUUUGUUUUAAUACAUUGAUUUUUAUUUUUUUCCAUUAUAGCUGGUUGACAGUGUUCUGUCAGUUUUCUGCCGUACAGCAUGGUGACCCAGUUACACCAUGUAUGCAUUCUUUUUUCUCACAUCAUCAGGCUCCAUCACAAAUGACCAAACGUAGUUCCCAGAACUACACAGCAGGAUCUCAUUGCUAAUCCACUCCAAAGGCAACAGUCUGCAUCUGUGAACCCCAAGCAGCCCAUCCAUCCCGUUCCCUCCCCUCAUUUUAAAAUAUGAAGCUAAGGAUCAAACAUUUUAGGAUAACCAUAAUAAGAAAGGGAAGAAGGAAAUAUGAACAAUUCAAGAAGAAAACUUCUUUUGAAAGUUAUAUGUCUCUGGAAGAAGGGAUAAUUUUAUCUUUGACCAUGAAAGGAUGCUAGUUUAAAAAAAAGCAAUCCUCAGAAAACAGAGAUGAGCUCAGACAUUUAGAAUGUGAAAUAAUAGAAGAGUUAAAAAUUUAGGAUAUUAAACUUCUCGUAGAAGGUUAGAAGAUAAAAUUGAGAAAAUCUUUUCACAAAGUAGGCCAAAAAGAAAUGUAAAGUAGGAGAAAAUAAGAAAAUUAGAGAAUCACUCUUGAUUAAGUUCAACAUGAAAAGUCAGAAUUACAGCAGGGGAGGAAAUGGAUGCAGGAAAUUAUUUAAGAAUACUUGAACGAAGAUCUCGCAUUUACAAAUGGGAAGAACUCAGCAGGCACAGCAUAAGUGACUGGAAGAAAACAUCAGAAAAAGUACAUCGUGAUGGAAUUUCAGACUUGAGAAAUAAAGGGAAGAUCCUAAAAGCUUUUGGUUGUGGAGCAUAUAAGAGAAAUGAGGAAUCAGUAACAUUGGAAAAUAAUUGGUAAUGAAAUAAUGCCUGAAAAUCCUGAAGGUGGAGUUCCCGUCAUGGCGAAGCGAAAAGGAAUCCGACUAGGAACCAUGGGUUUGCUGGUUCGAUCCCUGGCCUCGCUCAGUGGGUUAAGGAUCCGGUGUUGCCAUGAGCUGUGGUGUAGGUUGCAGGCGCAGGUCAGAUCUGGCGUUGCUGUGGCUGUGGUGUAGGCUGGUGGCUACAGCUCCGAUUUGACCCCUAGCCUGGGAACCUCCAUGUGCCUUGGAUGUGGCCCUAAAAAGACAAAAGACAAAAAAAUAAUAAUAAUAAUAAUCCUGAAGGCAGGUUAUUUCCCAAGUACUAAUUCUGUACCUUCCCAAGCUGUCAAGUGUGGGGAGUAGGCUAAAAAUAUGAAACAUGAGGUUGUUAGAGUAUUUACUUCAAAUGCACUGUAUCUCAGGGACGUUACUAAGGUCAUGGGUUCAAUCAGAAUGAUGGGGUGGAGUUCCCGUCGUGGCGCAGUGGUUAACGAAUCCGACUAGGAACCAUGGGGUCACGGGUUCGAUCCCUGGCCUUGCUCAGUGGGUUAACGAUCUGGCAUUGCCGUGAGCUGUGGUGUAGGUCGCAGAUGCGGCUCGGAUCCUGCGUUGCUCUGGCUCUGGCGUAGGCUGGGAGCUGCAGCUCUGAUUAGACCCCUAGCCUGGGAACCUCCAUAUGC